rnacentral:rRNA from 1 species
UACGGGGGGGGCAAGCGUUGUUCGGAAUUACUGGGCGUAAAGGGCUCGUAGGCGGCCAACUAAGUCAGACGUGAAAUCCCUCGGCUUAACCGGGGAACUGCGUCUGAUACUGGCAGGCUUGAGUGUGGCAGAGGGGGGUGGAAUUCCACGUGUAGCAGUGAAAUGCGUAGAGAUGUGGAGGAACACCGAUGGCGAAGGCAGCCCCCUGGGCUAACACUGACGCUCAGGCACGAAAGCGUGGGGAGCAAACAGG